UCUCAAAAUAUUCAACAUACAGUUAUCAGAUGAUUCAGCAAUUCCACUUUUGGGUAUACACCCAAAAGAAUUAAAAACAGGGACUCGAGCAGAUAUUUGCACACCCAUGUUCAUCACAGCAGCCAAAAGAUGGAAGCUGCCAAAAAGUCCCAUUGACAAAUGAACGGAUCAACAAAAUGUGGUGUCUACAUAACAGUGGAAUAUUAUUCAGCCUUAAAAAGGAAGGAAAUUUUGACAUGCAACAACAGGAUGAGCCUUGAGGACAUCAUAGAUGAAGUUCAGCUGUGUAUAGCAGGCGCGGAACUCACAAGGACCUACCCUCUCGUGUAAAAGAAGCCCAGAGUUAGACAGGACUGGAGGCUCCACAGUCAUCAGAGAUCUGGGUUCCUUCCACCCUUCUGCGGAAACCCCUACAGCAUAAAACCCCCAUCAUUAAAGCCCCUUCAUGCUGUGAGAUGAUUACUGGAAAUCACAUGAUUAAGCUAACUGCAAAGGAGGCUGAAAUACGUGGUCUUUUAUCUGAGGACACAGCUGCUGUGAAUACCAUCAGCAUUCUGUUCCUAAGGUAAAAGGAGAGAAUUAUGUAGGAGGAGGCCACUAGCGGCCUAUGCCACAAUUUGUUACUUGUUUGCAUCUCAGACUCCCCAACCAGGUCUCCGGCUAUAUCUCAGUUAAAUUUGUAACCCCUCAGUUCCUAGCUCAAUGCCUCUCACAGA
rnacentral:lncRNA from 10 species